AAUAGAUACCCCGGUAGUCCACGCUGUAAACGUUGGACACUAGGUGUGGCGGUCUGAUCAACGACUGCCGUGCCGAAGCUAACGCAUUAAGUGUCCCGCCUGGGGAGUACGGCCGCAAGGCUAAAACUCAAAGGAAUUGACGGGUCCCCGCACAAGCGGCGGAGCAUGCGGCUUAAUUCGAUGCAACCCGAAGAACCUUACCUGGGUUUGACAUCAUGGGAAAAGCCGUGGAAACACGGUGUCCGUAAGGGCCCAUGACAGGUGGUGCAUGGCUGUCGUCAGCUCGUGUCGUGAGAUGUUGGGUUAAGUCCCGCAACGAGCGCAACCCUUGUCCUAUGUUGCCAGCGGUUCGGCCGGGGACUCAUAGGAGACUGCCGGGGAUAACUCGGAGGAAGGUGAGGACGAUGUCAAGUCAUCAUGCCCCUUAUAUCCAGGGCUGCACGCAUGCUACAAUGAUCGGUACAACGGGCAGCGAUCCUGCGAAGGUGAGCGAAUCCCACAAAGCCGGCCUCAGUUCGGAUUGG
rnacentral:rRNA from 1 species